rnacentral:lncRNA from 1 species
GAUUACACAUAUUGUUAGAACUUUUGAGCCAAAAUCUUGUCAAAUUUCUCAAAAUAUAGCUUAAACCACAGUGACUAGUGAACUAGGUCACUUACUACCUUUAAAUUUAUAAGUGCUGAUUUCAACCUCUAAUAUCUCUUUUAUAUUUAUUUAAAAUCCAUUAAAUAAUAUGCUAAAACUGUAGCCAAAAAAGUGGUCUCUUCAAUCUUAGUCAUCGAUUCUCUG